CAACUCCUGAUUCUCCUACUUUUUUAUGCCCCAGGGCCAAUAAGCAUCAAAUAGAAUGAACUUUACCAACUGUAUUAUUCCCUGCAGCCUCAAAUCUCAAUCUGGUAGCUAGUAGAAGAAUAAUUGAGUUAAAAAAGAAGAGGGAUAGACAUCGAUGGAAACCGCUGUCGAAUCUGCAGUUGGAUUCCUCUUAGAAAAUCUGUUGCAGUUAAUUAAGGAGAAUCGCGAUUUGAUAAGCGGUGCCGGUAGCAAAGUCACCGAACUCUCAGACAACCUUGAUCUACUGAAGAGCUUCGUGACCACGUACACGGAAAAGCACUUCGAAAACGACAUCCUGCAAAAUUUGGCGAAGCAGAUAAGGAGUCUCACGCAUGAAGCUGAAGAUGUCAUUGAAGAAUACAUCUAUUGUGUUGCACUGCAUAAGAGCAGAGGGAGGGUUGAGAAGUUUAUUCACUCGCCUGCAUAUGGAUCCAGCGUACGGGCUGUCAGCAAAAAGAUUCAAGAUGUCAGUAAUCGGGUGAAGGAAAUGUAUCAAAGGAAUUUUUUGAUCGGUGGGGAUGCCUUCAACGCUGAUAGAGUGGACAAAAAGCCCAAGCCUGGUGUUCCAGGGGCUGACAAAGUCAUAGGUUUUGAGGAUGCAGCCGCAGAAGUUAUUGAACGUCUCACCGGUAAAAAAUGGGAUCAACAAAGAAAAACAGAUUCAGAGCAGCAAAAGACCGAGAUGAAGCACAUGACUGAGGUAAAGCAGCAGAUUGAAUUGAAACGGAUUGAGGAUCUAGAAGUGGUUUCAAUUGUUGGAAUGCUUGGGUUGGGAAAAACGACACUUGCUAGAAAGGUUCUAAUUGACCCUGUCAUCGAGUACGAGUUUUUCACUCGUAUAUUUGUUGCCGUUUCUCAAGAUUACGAGAAGAGGGAAGUGCUUCAAACUAUUCUAGUCCAGGGUGGUUUCUUUAAGAACAUCACAGAAUUGAAUGGAAAGUCUAUUGAAGAAUUAGAAAGACUGAUUGGUGAUAAGUUAAAGAGCAAAUAUUUGGUUGUCCUGGAUGAUGUGUGGACCAAUGAUGUAUGGAAGGAACUCAAACCUGUUUUCCCCGACAACAAAAAGGGCAGCAGGGUGUUAAUAACCACUCGGCACAAAUUUGUGGCCGAGUACAGUAAAUCAAAGAUCAGACCCUAUGACUUACGUUUCUUGUUUCCAGAAGAGAGUCGGGAAUUACUUCGAACAAAGGUCUUUGAUGAGAACAGAUGUCCAGAGCACCUAGAGGAGAUGGAAACAAACAUUUUGGACAAGUGUAAAGGGCUACCACUAGCAAUAGUGGUCACUGCUGGUAUUCUUAGGAAUAAUCGAGAGAGAAAGGAAUGGUGGGAGAAAGUGUUUCGUGGUGUGAGUAAUUUAGUCGAUGAUGACCAGAAGCGAAGUGAGAUGUUGAUAAAAUUGAGUUAUGAUCAUUUGCCUUUCCAAUUGAAACCAUGUUUUCUGUACCUUGGGGUCUUUCCGGAAGAUGUGGACAUUCCAGUUUGGAAAUUGUUGAGGUUGUGGAUUGCGGAAGGGUUCAUACAGCACAUUCCAGAUACAAGCUAUGCAAGCUUGGAGGAAAUAGCAGGGGAAUACUUGAGGGAAUUGGUUGACAGGAAUCUAGUUAUGGUGGCAGAUAGAAGGUCAAAUGAUGAGAUUAAGACAUGUCGUGUCCAUGACACGUUACGCCACUUUUGCAAGAAGAAGGCCAUAGAAGAAAAUCUGUUUCAAGAAAUAAAAUUGGAUGAGCUUAUUGGUCCAUCUGCAAGCACCUCUCUAAAAAAUAGCCGUCGCUUGUGUGUUAGUGCCUACCUUUCAGAUUACAUUUCUAGAACUCCUUCUGCUCCUUGUGUACGCUCAUUGUUGAGUUUAGCCAAGGAUGAGAGUGCUCUGAGCAAGGAAGAUUGCGCACUUAUUGCUAAACCCUUCAAACUACUCAAAGUGCUGGAUGUCAAAUCCAGCAAGAUUGUUGGUCGUUGUCCUGCAGAACUAGCUAAACUUGUUCUCUUGAAGUACAUUGCCAUAAAUUGCGAGCUCAAGACCCUUCCAAAGAAGAUGUCUAGCUUGCUUAACUUGCAAACUAUCAUUAUUGACACAACAUCCAGUAGCCUUGAUAUACAGCUAGACUUGUGGAAGAUGACACAACUAAGGCAUCUUCAUGCUAAUGCGUCGACUACCUUGCCUAAAUGUCAGGAACAGACCAUAAUGGUAAAUUUGCAGACCCUAUCUACUAUAUCUCCUGAAAGUUGCACCACAGAUGUGUUUAAAAGGACACCAAAACUCAAGAAACUGGGCAUACGUGGGAAUAUAGGUCUUCUUGUGCAGCCCAGUAGGGAGUCUAGUUUGUCUGACGGUCUCUUACAACUGGAACUCCUUGAAAAAUUGAAGCUGCAUAAUGAUGAUGUAACUUGCAAGUUGCAGGCCCUUCCAUUCGAGCACAAGUUUCCAGCAAAGCUAACAAGGUUGAGUCUGCAAAGCACGAGUCUUGAUUGGAGUCAUAUGUCAACUUUGGGGAAGUUGAAGUCUCUUGAGGUGCUUAAGUUGAAGGACAACGCCUUUAAGGGAAAGCAUUGGGAGACAGAAGAUGGGGGUUUUCGAUAUCUCAAAGUUUUGUUUAUUGGAGCUACAGAUUUAAAGGUUUGGAAAGCUAAGUCAAGUAAUUUCCCUGAACUCAAAAGCCUUGUUCUCAAGCAGUGCAGAAAUCUCGAGGCUAUCCCAUCUGACCUUGCAAAUGCGAAAAGCCUCCAGGUGAUUGACCUAGAACACACCAGCCAAACGGUGGUUGCCUCCGCAAAGAAUAUGCAGUUGCUGCAAUUGCGAGUUCUCAGGCAGAAAAGGGACAUCGAGACCAGCGAGCUCAAGGUCAAGAUCUAUCCUCCAGAGUAGAAAAAAUACAAGUGCUUCCAAGUUCAAAUCCCUUAAGAGGAUACGAUUGAGGUUAAAACAAUGGUGAUUCUUUAACUGAUCCUCUUGGGAAGCACUUUAAAAAAUGCCUUCUGUUCUUUUCUUAUCUCUAGCAGGAUAUUGCCUGGUCUUGCAUUCUGUUGCUCCAAUCAAAAUUUCUAGCCAGAGGUGCCGCAGAUUCUAACCUUUAGUGUUUUCUUUUACCAUUAUGUACCAAUAACAAAGCCAAUUGCAUGCGGACUUCUAUCUCUUAAAAUGUUCCCCUUUUUUUCCCAUUCUUUUCAGCUAGUUUAUUGUGAUGGAGAUAAGGCAACAGAUGUUUUGGCCAACUGAGGAACAAGGUGUGGAGGUGCUCUUUCCCUCUGGGAACUCAACUGGAUAAAAUCCAGUUUGAAAUAUCAUCUUGCGGGUAUCGUGGGAGAAACCUUUCAAGAGGAUGAGCAGUACAGAAAUGAAUGAGAAAAGGGCCAAGGGGUUAUGUCUUUGGCAUGAUGAGAAAAUGAGUUGGGGCACAAACGCAAGAAACAGCAGUUUUAUAGACUGGUAGUUUGUGGUUACUAUGACGAAGAUGGGUUAUAUGAACAAGGGGUUGAAUUGGAAGGAAAAAGGAGGGGAGGACGAUGAAGGAAAUCUGGCACAAAUCUCAGUUAAUGCAAUGUCGACAAUGGCAGUUCCCAGAUUCAACACUAAGAUGGUCACUAGACAUGUGGGGAAGCAAGAUAUCCACAUCGUCAUUGAUUGCUGCAGCACAAAUGAUUUUGUCAAUCCAGAUGUUGUGAGGAAAUUAGGCUUGGGAACUGUGCAGGUAGCUCCAUUGAUACAGGAGGUGGCCAAUGAAUUAGAACCCAAAACUUCUAAUUUCUGGGACCCAUUGAUUAAUUUACCUCAUCUACAAUACAUUGCCUCCACUGCAAAAUAUUGUACAGGGUACGUGCAAGAAAAGUGAAAGCCAGGUCUUCUCAACUGAUAUAACUAAUUGGGUACUUCCAUACCACGUUCAAUCGUUUAUUCUCCCCUGAUAGUUUACUUCAAUCACUUUGUAACAAGGCUUCCGUCCUUUAAUCAAGAUUUGUGUAGGGAAGUUUAAGUGAAGCUUUUCCUGAAUUCAACAUAAUUUGGGGUUAUACUGC